UACGUAGGGGGCAAGCGUUGUCCGGAUUUAUUGGGCGUAAAGAGCUCGUAGGCGGUUCGACAAGUCGGAUGUGAAAUCUCCACGCUCAACGUGGAGGGGCCAUUCGAAACUGUCGUGACUUGAGUCCGGUAGGGGAGUGUGGAAUUCCCGGUGUAGCGGUGAAAUGCGCAGAGAUCGGGAGGAACACCCGUAGCGAAGGCGGCACUCUGGGCCGUGACUGACGCUGGGGAGCGAAAGCGUGGGGAGCAAACAGG
rnacentral:rRNA from 1 species